rnacentral:rRNA from 1 species
GGGGAAUAUUGGACAAUGGGCGAAAGCCUGAUCCAGCAAUGCCGCGUGAGUGAUGAAGGCCUUAGGGUUGUAAAGCUCUUUUACCCGGGAUGAUAAUGACAGUACCGGGAGAAUAAGCUCCGGCUAACUUCGUGCCAGCAGCCGCGGUAAUACGAGGGGAGCUAGCGUUGUUCGGAAUUACUGGGCGUAAAGCGCGCGUAGGCGGUUUUUUAAGUCAGAGGUGAAAGCCCGGGGCUCAACCCCGGAAUAGCCUUUGAAACUGGAAAACUAGAAUCUUGGAGAGGUCAGUGGAAUUCCGAGUGUAGAGGUGAAAUUCGUAGAUAUUCGGAAGAACACCAGUGGCGAAGGCGACUGACUGGACAAGUAUUGACGCUGAGGUGCGAAAGCGUGGGGAGCAAAC